CCAAGCUAGGAAAAAGAAUCAUCUUUAAAAGUAUGUCAUCAGCACUCAAGACCUUUAAUGAGCCAGCGGAAUUGGUCUCCUGGUCCUCUCCUCACUCCACAGAGACUGAAAACGUGUCUACCCAGUGUACAGCAAACUAUUUCUGUAGGCUGCCCGCAGUUGACAUCCUCCAUUCUGACCCUCGCCAAGCAUUUCAGAAAAGGUAGACAGGCCUGCAGAGAAAGCAGAUGGCUCAUCGCACAUCACACAGUGAGUAUGUGGCAAGGUGCGGUCUGGAACGCAGGCUCGGAGCUCAAUGCAGUUUCCACUUCACCCACAAUGAGAAACACCU
rnacentral:lncRNA from 1 species